GGAGGUUUAGCUCAGCGGCAUAAGCACCUGCCUUGGAAGCAGGCAGUUGUGAGUUCGAUCCCCGAAACCAAUA
rfam:Cavia porcellus supercont2_5 genomic scaffold, whole genome shotgun sequence.